GUUAUAUGCAAUCUGACACUUAUUCAUUUAAUUUUUUUUACAGAAAUUCUGAGCUGCUGCAUGAACAUUCAUCAAACAUAUAAGGCUGCAAUUUGGAAAAAACUUUCAAGCUAAUGCUGCUGAAAUGGAGGUCAAGGGGACUAUGAAGAGGUGGCUCCAGCUGAAGGGUGGACUUCAGGAGGCAGACACACUCUGUUACAGUAAUUAACUGAUCCAGUCGGUAUCCAGACCAGAUGGUGGACCUGCACCCAGGAACGACCACAACACAUCCCUGACUGUCAGCGGAGACCAUGACAGAUCUCUGUGAAGACCUCAUUGAUGGCCCCAGCACAGAUCCUCAGCAAAGACUACGAGAACCAGACAAGC